UACGUAGGGGGCAAGCGUUGUCCGGAAUUAUUGGGCGUAAAGAGCUUGUAGGCGGUUUGUCGCGUCUGCCGUGAAAUUUCGAGGCUCAACCUCGAACUUGCGGUGGGUACGGGCAGACUAGAGUGUGGUAGGGGAGACUGGAAUUCCUGGUGUAGCGGUGAAAUGCGCAGAUAUCAGGAGGAACACCGAUGGCGAAGGCAGGUCUCUGGGCCACUACUGACGCUGAGAAGCGAAAGCAUGGGGAGCGAACAGG
rnacentral:rRNA from 1 species